rnacentral:rRNA from 1 species
UACGUAGGGGGCAAGCGUUGUCCGGAUUCAUUGGGCGUAAAGAGCGUGUAGGCGGCCAGUUAGGUCGGUUGUGAAAACUGGAGGCUCAACCUUCAGAGGUCGACCGAAACCAUCUGGCUAGAGUCCGGGAGAGGAGAGUGGAAUUCCUGGUGUAGCGGUGAAAUGCGCAGAUAUCAGGAAGAACACCCGUGGCGAAAGCGGCUCUCUGGAACGGUACUGACGCUGAGGCGCGACAGCGUGGGGAGCAAACAGG